rnacentral:rRNA from 1 species
GUGAAUUUGCGGAAGGUUCAUUA